rnacentral:rRNA from 1 species
CCCUUAGAUGUUCUGGGCCGCACGCGUGCUACACUGAGUGGAUCAGCGGGUCAGGUUGCGCGAAAGUGUUUCCUAAUCUUGAAAUCCGCUCGUGAUGGGGAUAGACGGUUGCAAUUUUCCGUCAUGAACGAGGAAUACCUUGUAAGCGCGGGUCAUCAUCCCGCGCUGAAUACGUCCCUGCCCUUUGUACACACCGCCCGUCGCUCCUACCGAUUGAGUGGUCCGGUGAGGCUUUGGGAUCUGAGCGGAAAGAGCGUUUCGCUGUUUCUGCUCGGAAAACUCAGUCGAACCUUAUCAUUUAGAGGAAGGAGAAGUCGUAACA